CUCCCCCCCCCCCCCCCCCAGAGGGCCGAGUCGUUUUUCCACUCUUGCCGCUGCAGUCGUGUGUAAUUGUGUCUCAGGGUGCCGCUCGUCAUUUGUUGCUGAUGAUGUCAAGUCAAGACCAACUGAAGCCUAGAAACCGGCCCUACGAGGCGGCAUCAGAGCACCAGGCCGGCCGACCUCCUCCGGGUCCAUCACCACUACUUGUUGUUUGUUACGCUUCUGGUGGUGUGGAACGUGAUGUUGAUCUCCAGAGGGACUUUUCUUCUAGUUAGGAAAGAGAAACGAGCAGUGAACGUAAAGGAAAAAGUAAGGUAACGUCUCCAAUGUUUCAGCUCAUGUCUCCUGGCCGAAGCUCUGCCCUGUUCAUGAAGCCUCAGGUCUGGUCAGAUGAAGCCCAUCUAAGCAGACCCUCAUGUAAAAGAAAUAAAAAUCAAAAGAAAGAUAAUAUUUUAGGACAUUAAUCCAGGUUGGCAAAAUAUUGGACUGGCGGCUGGUCCAUAGAGGGCAACAUGAGCAACGGGAAGAAGAAAAAGAACAUUUGCGUUGUUUGUUAUAUUAAAAAUAUUAUUUACAAAUAGUCAAUAUUUGCGUAUUUCUGAAACGAAAUUUUUGGAACGUGGAUUAUUUACCCGGUAAUAUUUGUAAAUUAAGAUAUCUGCGCAAAAUAUAUGCUUCUCCUGCGCGUCCUCUCCGCUUGUCUCAGCUCGGGCCGGGUCCCAACGAGGCGGGUCUAAGAAGCAGUCAAUCACUGACGAAGUUAAUGAGUGACAUCGUAACUUCAGCGCCCUAAAAUACAUUGAGCCCUUCGCCGCCCAACGCUGGCGAGUCUUACAUAACGAGAGCGACCAGUAUAUAUAUGUACAUAUAUUAGAUUUUGUUAUAAUAUAUUUAUAUUGGAUAUUUAUAAUAGUUACAAUACGGUAGUUGUAUAAUUGCUUUAUAUAAAUAUUCAUUGACAUACUGAAUUGUUUGAAUUUAUUUAUUUAUUAUGUUAAACUGUUGGAAUAAAUGUAAAACAUUUAACUGUGAGUAAUAAUGCGCGUUUGAUACCCGUCAUACUGGGACGUUAACUGAAACUGGCUCAACCAAAAAGAAACCCACCAGCCGCAACUGCACUCCGGAUUCAAUUAAACUCUCCCAAAGCACACAGAACUCCAAUUUAUAUAACUGACAUGUGAUGUGAGUGUCUCCAUCCUGUAAUCCCACUCUGGCUGAAGCAGCCGUGCUGAGACAGAAACUCUUUCAUUGGGGUUUUUAAAGACAGGCUGGGAGUUCAUGGACGGAUGGACGCUGCACUGUCAAUUACCAGCUCGUCCUCAGCUCGGCCCGUGUGUGCGCGCGCGAGUCAAUAUGUGUGUCCUCCACCUCGGCCUAAGCUCAUGUUUGCCAAUUUCUUUCUGCCUUUGCCACCAUCCAUCAGCUUCUCCUCCCAUCCGCCUGGACAAUCAAAAAGGCCGAAAUGCGGGAACGUACGAGGAUAAAGAUGCGGCAUAAAGGGCCGGUUAUAAGAAGAGGAGGAGGAGGAGGCUCAUGAGCAAAUGAGGUGGGGUGGAAAGGAGGUAGGGUGGGGUACGGAGUGAUGGGAGGGAGGGCAGCAGGGUGGAGAAAUGGUGGGAGGCAAUUUUCGGUUGCAAGAUGGUAAUUGUCCAACUCGACUCGAUAACGAGGCCUUUAAAAAACUUGAAAAAAAUGCAAUUUUCCCUCCACAAACUCCUGCUGUUAAUGGGAUUUGUGCUCUCUGCCCCUGCUGUCCUAAACACACACAACGACACGCACACGCACACAACGACAAACAGAAAUGGUCUCAGUUCCCCACGUACAGUGCAACAGCCCCCCCGUGCCUCUGCAGUCCAGAGUCUUUAUUCAGAUGGCAGCCAAACACAGUCAGUGAUUUGACGCUGGGACACAAACACACAAACUCACACAAAUACACACGAGUGGAAAUGAGAACUCGGUGGGCAAAUUUUCCUUUUGUCGCUUGACUCCUUGGCAGCAUUAUUCUUUACUUUCAUGCCAAUAAACCCCCGUCAAAGUGAACCGAAUUCAAAUAGAGUCAGAGAGGACGAGGUGUCACAUCCGGUUACUUCUGCUUUUACAGAAUACACAAACGUCCUCUGAGAAACCUCAGCGCUGCUACCAAAGAACCCCAUGGACAUCCAUUGUUAGGCAGUAAACACUUUAACGCCGCGGAGGUUCUUCGCCAAACAGGUGUGUGCAUCCAUUGUGUUUGUGACAGAGAGAGAGGGGAGGGAGGGAGAGAGAGGGGGGAGGAGGAGGAGGGAGAGAGAAGAGUGGAAUGUUACAAAUGCAGAGGACACAUUUCAAACAGCCACGUAGGCGUCUGAGGAUGCGCUUGCAUCGGUUUUGCAGAUGAGCCGAUCUAUAAAGACCCACGUUCAUGAAUGCUGAUGAUGCCAGAACGCGAGUGUGUGUGUGUGUGAGAGAGAGAGAGAGAGAGAGAGAGAGAGAGAGAGAGAGAGAGAGAGAGAGAGCACCUGGGGCCAAUUUGUAUGUGAGAUGUUGAUUAUUUCAUUUUAAGGGAAAGUAAGUAAGGAAUGUUCCGGCCCAUUGGACCAAAUUACCAUAAUCUAUGAGCCGGGCUGGGGGUGUCGAUCAAUAACAGUGACUCAGCAGUUGUGACAGGUGACGUCAGUAUCCUCCCGAAGUAAAAACACCCCACCCCCACCCUACACAGCUGGUUUCCUCUGCUCAGCAACACAAGAAAGUUCCUUCAUUCUCUGCAACAAUCACUCAGGUCAAAGGUCGAUAUCCGAGAGUGCGAGGCCCGAGCCUCAUCCUACUGACGCCUCAGCGGAUUCCACAAGCGCCACAAGCGCCACAAGGCUUUAUUAGUAGUAAGACUGUAGUACGUCUAUAAUAAGACUGUAAUACGUCUGUAAUAAGACGGUAAUAAGUCUCUAAUAAGACUGUAAUACGUCUGUAAUAAGACUGUAGUACAUCUAUAAUAAGACUGUAAUACGUCUGUAAUAAGACGGUAAUAAGUCUGUAAUACAACAUAUUGAGAUUGUAAUAAGUCUGUAGUAAGACUGUAGUACGUCUAUAAUAAGACUGUAAUACGUCUGUAAUAAGACUGUAACAAGUCUGUAAUAAGACUGUAAUACAUCUGUAAUAAGACGGUAAUAAGUCUGUAAUAAGACUGUAAUACGUCUGUAAUAAGACUGUAGUACAUCUAUAAUAAGACUGUAAUAAGACGGUAAUAAGUCUGUAAUAUAACAUAUUAAGAUUGUAAUAAGUCUGUAAUAAGACUGUAGUACGUCUAUAAUAAGACUGUAAUACGUCUGUAAUAAGACUGUAACAAGUCUGUAAUAAGACUGUAAUACAUCUGUAAUAAGACAGUAAUAAGUCUGUAAUAAGACUGUAAUACGUCUGUAAUAAGACUGUAGUACAUCUAUAAUAAGACUGUAAUAAGACGGUAAUAAGUCUGUAAUAUAACAUAUUAAGAUUGUAAUAAGUCUGUAAUAAGACUGUAGUACGUCUAUAAUAAGACUGUAAUACGUCUGUAAUAAGACUGUAACAAGUCUGUAAUAAGACUGUAAUACAUCUGUAAUAAGACAGUAAUAAGUCUGUAAUAAGACGUUUUAUGACUGUUUAUAUGAUUAUAAUUAACUAUGAUUAUGAUGAAGGCUUAAUAACACUGUAAUAAGAUAUAAUAAUCAACUCAUGUCUGUUUGAAAUGUCACCUCCUGCCGCCAUGCACAUGCAUUCACACAUACACAGACCCCUAAGGGAGGGGGGGGGGGCAUCAUAAAUAUUCAACAAUAUUCAAUGCAGUAGCACUUCCAUCUUAUGACGUAUAACUUCUUAUUCACCUUUAUGAUUCAUUUACUGGUAGUUGUGUUUUUAUUUUGCUAUAUUGCCCUAUGGUGCAACCUGUCCUACUGGUGUGACGGCGUAAAGUAUUGUUUCAUUAUUAGUUAUCUUUUGCUCUGGAAAACACGAGAGAUGCUCUUAUUGCAUCUCGUGUCUGCAAUCGGGUUUUCUAAGCGGGUAACGUUGUCCUGGAUUAUCAAAGCAGAAAUCUUAGGUUGUAGUUCUCUAAUGAGCCGAUCAAUCACAGAAAUCUGCACAUAUUAUAAUGUGUGGAACCACCGCUCAUCCCGCUCUCCUGUAGGUAAACACUGAAGCACAGAGCCCAGAGACGCUGCAGAGCAUCAGGCUGCACCGGAUAUUAGCCAAACCCAGCUUUGCUUUGCUUUCAGUCAGUCACUUUGUCAUUUCAUUUAUAACAAAUACAUAAAAGCUAGCGCGCUUCUACAAGACAGGGAUGAAGAUGGAGGUGCUGACCCUCCUCAUGCUUUUUCCCAAACAAAAAAAAGGCCUUUGCUGGAGGAAGUGUUUGCUAGCCUUUCACUACACCAGUCACACACAUCAGAUAUGUUCUUAUAUUCAACUCAAAGCCCAAACUCACUGGUAUUAAGUUGAAGAGGUCAAACCUCCACCUGGAGAAACGCGAGCCUCCACAUCUGGACCACAGGACGUGAGCGCCAGUAGAAGCAGAUGGAGCCGACGCGCCGCUCUGCAGACCGAUGCACUGCCGCGGUAAUACUGGAGCUCAGUGUCCCUCUGUGGCCCCACAUUAACAUUCUAUAUGCAGCCGUGAAAGUAGAAGAAGAUUUGGAGCAAAUCAGAGGGCAGAAAACAUCCUCAAGCACCAGAGCCACUGAACAUCUGAUGGAAACAAGCUACGCCCCGAGCGGUGAAUCACACUGACGGAUGAACGUCCAGCGUAGCAACCUGACAAUAAAACAUCUCCUUUUUUUUAUGGGAACCAAGGCACCGUGCACCAUCGCAUGGCAGAACCGAGGCAUCGUGCACCAUCGCAUAACAGAACCGAGGCACCGCGCACCAUCGCAUGGCAGAACCAAGAGACCGUGCACCAUCGCAUGACAGAACCGAGGCACCGCGCACCAUCGCAUGGCAGAACCGAGGCACCGUGCACCAUCGCAUGGCAGAACCGAGGCACCGUGCACCAUCGCAUGACAGAACCAAGGCACCGUGCACCAUCGCAUGACAGAACCGAGGCACCGUGCACCAUCGUAUGGCAGAACCAAGGCACCGUGCACCAUCGCAUGACAGAACCGAGGCACCGUGCACCAUCGCAUGACAGAACCGAGGCACCGUGCACCAUCGCAUGGUAGAACCGAGGCACCGUGCACCAUCGCAUGACAGAACCAAAGGCACCGUGCACCAUCGCAUGACAGAACCGAGGCACCGUGCACCAUCGCAUGACAGAACCAAGGCACCGUGCACCAUCGCAUGACAGAACCAAGGCACCGUGCACCAUCGCAUGGCCGAACCGAGGCACCGUGCACCAUCGCAUGACAGUUUCGUUAUGAUUUCUCCAGUGGUCACUUGUAUGAAAAACCCAAAUAUCCUCAUUAUUUUAGAAGCAGUUAAGGACCCAAACCGAUAUGGAACCAGAUGAGCAACAACUAAUCACCUCUCAGUACGUAGGUACACAAGGACAUGACUACUGCUUUAUGGAAAUGAAUAAAAGUCAAUGUAAUGUCCCCAUAAGUUGGGAAAACAGGUGUGUGUGUGUGUGUGUGUGUGUGUGUGUGUGUGUGUGUGUGUGUGUGUGUCGGUGGGUGUGAGAGAACGCCGUGAACCUUUCUGUCACUCUACAUCUACCAGCCUGCCAGAUGCCUGCUAACAAGGACCCACAAGCCCACAAACGACACAUGCUAACAAGGACCUAGCUCGUCGCAGGCUAAUACGCUACCUGCCCAUCAUGCACAAGCGCCCACACACACACACACACACACACACACCCCGCAUACUAACCACGGCUUGGCUGCUUUCACAGACUGACUAAUCAGUGUGACUCACAUAUCUCUGUGUGUCCAAGUCCUAGUUUCUGCUUAAUGCAGGUUGUGUGGAAGCGCACACACACACACACACAUACACACACACACACACACACGGUAGCAUGGAGGUGAGAUCCACUUUGUAUUCGGUGUGUGUUUUGUUGUCCGUCUCUGAGUUGGUCCCAUCACUUUUGUACCUGAUUAGGCCCAUGACAGCUGUGUGUUGUUGUUGUUUUGUCAGUGUGCAUUUGGGUGUUGUCACACGAAGCGUCUCCCCGAAGUAACCAAAAUCCCUCUCUGAGAAUCCGCCGCCGCCGCCGCUCCACAUCGUGCAUUCAGAACAGCUCUGAUCCCCUCGUGGAGCCUCCAUUCCAGCUGCAUCCAACAGCUGGCAGCCAAACGUAAACAAGUGACUGGUGGAGACAGCUGAGGUGUGAACGCGCUGUGUGUGUCCUUCCACCGGAUCCACACGGAUCUGUGAGUCACUAAUGACGAGUAACCACAGGCCGCUUUGCCGUGUGUGGAGUGACGUCGCCGUGGAAACACACGUGAGCAACCUGGUUGCGUUACUUGAUACUUGAAUGAACAUCAUGGCGCAUCGAAGAAGACUUGAAACCAGAGACCACAAACUCUGGUUCACAAUGUUUACUGAGGGAAUAAAUCAAGAGAAGUAGUUUCUCAUAGAAAUGGAACCAGAGGAGUCCCCCCCCCUCGUCCCCCCCGUCCCCCCCCCUGAUAUCAAUAAAAGUAUUUUUUAUUUUUUGGCAUCCGAAAGCUGUAAACUCACCAAAUGCCUUCACUGCUGCCUCCCGUCCAUCGAUGUCUGGCAGCUUUUGUCUUUUGUCUGUCUUUGAGUCAGAGAGAUGAACAAUGUCCUUCACAUGAGUGGCUGCAGACCCCGUCCCCCCUGUCCCCCCGUCCCUCUGUCCCCCCGUCCCCCUGUCCCCGUCCCCCCGUCCCGCCGUAAAUUGAUUGGAAUCACCCUCAAAAAUGAGGAGAGCUGAAAACGACGACUCGUCAAAAGGUGCUUCAGCUGUUCGACACCCUGACAACAACACGCGCUCCUUUCCAAAACGCCACACGCAACGAGGCCCGAAGCCUCGCUGCCUGUGUGUGUGCGUGUGUGUGUGUGUGUGUGUGUGUGUGUGUGUGUGUGUUUCUGGCAGGUACACACCAGCCAGCAGGCGAAUAACAAUCAAGUGUCUAUCACUGAAUAUUCAGCAACCCGCACUGCUGAGCACACGGGAUCCAGCAACACAUUUUGCCAUCUUGCAGUACUGACAAAACAUGUACGAUGAUAUGUGUGUGUGUGUGUGUGUGUGUGUGUGUGUGUGUGUGUGUGUGUGUGUGUGUGUGUGUGUGUGUGUGUUCAGGCUGCGACGCACUUAGAGAACAUUAAAGAGUUUCAUUGAAGCACUUUAAGUCACUUCCAUCGCACAUAUUCCAAAGAGGCUAAAUGUCUGCAUGUAGGAAGCUGCAGUCCCAGGACACAAAGAGUGAGCAUGGACACACACACACACACACACACACACACACGCACAUACAUGCACACUGCAGCUGUCAGCUGAAUCUGCCUCAGCCGCCAUAUCAGCCAUAAAUAUGGUUUAUUUAUAUCUGUGAAAUAGGUAAGAUUCAAAUAAAUAUCACUUUACCCGCAAACACACACACGCACGCACACACACACAGACACACACAGACACACACACGCACAGACAUAUCAAAACAAAAAAGAGGUUGCAAACAAAAGAAACGUGUGCACUCAAACGGCACAGAAGUCUGCAACAAGGGUGCAAUUACUGUCAAAUGCACACGUGCACACGCACUCGCACGUGCACACACUCACACACUCACACGUGCACACGCACUCGCACGUGCACACACUCACACACUCACACGUGCACACACUCAGUAAUGGAAGAUCAGCCUUUCGAGGCAGUACAGCAGCCUUGAACUCCUCCCAACCUGAGGUUUAAUCAUCAUAAAUGUAACACACGCACACACAUAUGGCUCACAUUCACACACACACACAUAUACGCUCACAUGCACACACACACGCGGCCCUGGACUUCUGGCAUGUUUGUGUCUUCUGUCUCCUCGUCCUCGUCUCUUGAGGUUAGAAAGCUGUUGAGUGUAAACGGAGCAGAUGGAGGAUUUGACUUCAUAUUUCACUGACGCUUUCAGCCACGAGGUUUUGUGGCGGAUGUUUAUUGAAAAAGUGCCUCAUUUACCCCGAAGUGGCCUUUUGAAGGUAAUGAACAUGUUCACGAUGAAAAAAAGUAUUAUUACCACCAACAUACCUCGGCUUUAUAACCAGGGUCUCCAUGUUAUGAUCCACUUUUAACAACCCCAAACCUUGUGAUUAAGUCUGCAUUGAAAAGUUGACAGAUGUGCUCGGGCUCAAAAGACCCUUGUUCCAAUAUUCAGUUUGUUCCGUGAACGUCUCAGAAAAUGACCGCCAGGUCGCAGAGUGACCGUGAAACAGCCCCCAGCUGGUCUGAAGCUCUCAGCAGGACGUCCACAAGCCUCCAGGCGUUUCUCGCUGACUUCACUGACAUCUUCGCUCCGUGCACGCGGCCUUGCCGCCCACUGAAAGACCUCCCGUCUCGGGUUUUAGAGCCAGCAUGGAGCCACUUCACCGACCCGACCGAGAGAAACGGCGUUGAAUUGAAAUGUAGAGAAGUGACCAGAGAAACUGUUGUUGUUGUUCGACCUUCUGCUCGACAUCGAACUACAGGAAACGGUCUUUUCUCCGUUAGACGGAGCCCAACGGGACGCGUCUCUUUUCCUGUCUCUCUCUCUCUCUCCAGCUCUUCGCUGCCCAGUGGCCGUUUCCACUUUGCACGCGUCUGGAGAACCACGGACACACCUGAUAUGGUCUGAUUCGGUGAGGCGCCCGAGGCCCCAAAUCAGAAGCGCGACCAAAAGCAAAAAGAGCAGCAAACGCACAGAAUAAUUCAUUUAUUUUCCCGCUGAUGAUCCAAGCGCCACAAUGGCUUCAAAUGAUUCCUUUGUUGCUCGUCCUCGGUCCUCUUUUUCAUUUGGUUUCUGUCCCCCCCCCCCCCCAAUUAAUUUGUGUUUUCUUGUAGUCGUUGCGGAUUAGUUGAUGGCCCGUGUCCAC
ensembl:lncRNA